AAAGGAAAAAUAAAAUCUUUAAAAAUAAAAAAAUUAAAAAAAGAAGUUCCUCAUGUUUAAAAUCAAAUCCUGAACAUUCCUAUCAUGUAAACACACCCUUCAUCUCCAUCUUGAAAACGUUGCCUCUCUCUUUGGGUUUAGUAACCACAGAAUGACGUGUGAAGAGGGACUUGCAGAGGGGGAUGUGAAAGGAGAUAGAAUCUAGAAAAUCUCAAUGGAGACUUCAGGCAGAGAGGACCCAAGAAUGAAGCACUUAAUGUCUGUGCAGAUAUUGGAGAAGGGUCUCUGCUACCCCAAGAUGUAGUUUCAGGGACUUGCACUAAUCUCAAGGGACAGAAGGGACCCAGCUGAACCCUGAUUUAUAGUUAUGAGGUCCAUUCUUCGAAUUAUAAGGGAAUAAGAAACAUAUUGAGGUCAGAGUGUGAUUUCUCAUUUCAGCUGAGGCACGAAGGAUGAGUAAGAGGCAGCAUGAUGGUGUUGUCAUUGGCUGGAAAGGCUAGGUGCCUCAUUGACACAGAGCAAAAAUAGAAUUGAGAAAAACUGUAUAAUUUUUUCACAUAGUAAGAUAGGCUGGAUAUGGGACAAGAGAGAGCUAAAACUCAUCUUCUUUUGUUUCACGUAAAGCCAUUGCUCCAACAUGACUCUUCUACUGACCACUGCAUGGAAAUGGCCCUCCUUCUCCUAUCACCUCUCCUUUCCCCUUGCUUUACCUUUCCUGCUCCUCCCCUAGAGCCCCUGGCUGACUACCAUGUCUGCUGUCCCUAAAUUCCACAGUACAGAUUGUCAAAAGUUAAUGGAGAAAAACAUGGAUUUUAGAAUUAAAGAAAGACAGAAAAUACUCACUGUGAUAAAGAGUCUCCAGGGCAUCCCCCAUGAUUCCUGCACCUGCUUGUGUUCACAUCCUGUAUAAUCCUCCCCUUGAGUGUGGGUGGGACCUGUGGCUUCCUUCUGGCCAAUAGAAUAUGGAAAAGGUCAAGACAUUAUUGCAGAUGUAAUUAAGGUGUCAAAUCAGUUGAUUUCAAAUUAAUCAGAAGGGAGAUGUUCCUGGAUGGGCCUGGCUUAAUCAGAUGAAAAGCCUUAAAGGAGGAACUGAGCUCUCCUGAGACGAGAAACUCUCUCUCCAUUAUUGUUUUGAAGAAUUAAGCUGCCAUAUUGUGAUAGGGCCUAUGGAGAUGGCCAUGUAACAAGGAACCAUGGGUGGCCUCUGGAAGCUGAGAAUGACCCUUUGUUGACAGAAAAAACUCAAAAACCUCAGUUUUAUAACUGCAAGGAGAUGAAUUAUGCUAACAUCCUGAGACUGUUUGAAAGUAGAUCUUUCUCUGUUCAAGUCUCUGAUGGGACCACAGCCCUAGCCAACAGCUGCAUUGUAGCCUGGGGAGAUCCUGAAGCAGAGAACCCAGGUAAGAUGUGACUGGACUUCUGACCUAUGGAAAUCAAGAGAUAAUAAAUGAGUGCAAUUUUAAACUGCUAAGCUUGUGGUAGUAGGUUAUGCAGCAGAGAAAGCUAAUAUGCUCACUAAUUUUAACUGGACUGAAUUAUGAUCCGAAAAUAUCUCAGUGGUCUGAAAUCAUCAAAAUACCAAAUCCUGGUCAAAAUAUGAUAGACCAGAAAUUUAUUUCUCACAGUUCUGGAGUCUAGAAGUCUAACAUCAAGGUUCUGGUCAAUUUGGUUUUCAGUGAGGACUCUUUCUGGCUUGCAGAGAGCUGCCUUCUUGCCAUGGCCUCACAUGACCUCACCUCGGUGUGUGUGCACAGAGAUUGACUGAGUGAGCUCUCUGGUGUCUCUUCUUACAAGGACAUUAAUCCUAUCAGAUCAGGGCCCCACCCUUGUGACCUCAUUUAGCCUUAAUUAUUUCCUUACUCCACAUUCAGCCACACUAGGGGUUAAGGUUUCAACACAUGAUUUAGGGGGAGACAUACAUUCAGUCCAUAACGAUGCUUUUCCUCAUAGGAUUUCAUGCCCUUCACAAAUGAUUUAUAAUACAUAAAUCUAAAGUACCUAAAAAAGCUCUGACAAUGUAAGCAAAAUGACGACCAGAACAAUAGAAAAUGUGGCAGAGGAAUCCCCAACAUUAUCUGAAAAGAUCAUUUGAUGUCCCUAAUAAUAACUGUAGGUAAAAACCAUGACAUUGAUUUUGCCUAUCAAAUUUGCAAAGGUUAAAGUAUUUAAAGAUUCUCAGUGAUGACAAAAUGUGGAGAAAAGACAAUCUCACAUGUGUUGAUUUGACAAUUUCUCAAAAUUUAAAAUGCACAUACAGAGUGAGCACAUAGAAAGAUGUCUAUUAUAACAUUGUCAGUGGUAGUGACAUAUUGGAGUCAGCUAAAUGUUCCAUUAAGAGGAUAGUAGUUAAAUAAAUUACUAUGGCUUUCACUCUAGCAAUUUGAAAAAAGCAGGUAAACCUGCUUUCAUUGAUUUUAAAAUAAAGUCAUUAUAUAGUAUUACGUGAAAAAAAGUUAGUUGCAAGUUAUUUCUUGUAGUGCAUUACUAUGAUAACUUUCUUACAAAUGUACUUAGCAGUGUGGAUGCAUAUCACUGACAACAGAAUGGUAUCUGGAUACUAAGAUUUUGGAAUGAUCAAAAGUUUUAUUAAUAAAACUUUUUCAAUCAUGAAAAUUUUAAAAAAGUAGUUUGACUUGUUUCAUAAGAACUUCUAUACAAUUAAAAAGAAAAUAUCCUUUUUUAAUAUACAAUUCUAGAUUAUUGUUUUGUGUUUAACCAGAUAAAAGCAAAUUCACUACCCUUCUAACUGUGCUAAAGCUUGCCAGUAUAACUGCAGUAGAUGAUUCAGCUUUUCUAUUAUUCAGUUAGAUGCAAUACUUUCUCAUUUUUAACAAUAUCUGUGCAGUUUGUGAUUCAUUCCAAUUGGUUUGGUGAGUUAUGUUCUAUUCCUCUACCUAUUUACAAAAGAGGAAUACAAUCUUUAAGAGUGGUUGCUUUGCUGAAAUUAAACAAAUCAGUCAUUUUUUGAAAGUGACCAAAAAAAAGAGUCAACGUAUUUUGGUAAUUUUAUACUGGAUUCUGUUACAGAGUUGCAAUUCUCUCAUGUGUAGAGGAGUUCUGUCUCUUUGAUUAUGAAGAUAAGACCUAAAUAAUGUUCCCUCUCUCAUCUUACCCAUUAUUCUUUUAUCAGUGCAUUCUUCUAUUACUUCAUUAAGAAACAAAUUAUACCAUGAUUAUAUUUAAUGAACAUGUUCAAAUCGCUAUGUAUGCAGUCACUGUGAAUUUUAUACUCAGUCAAUCCUCUCUUUUCCAAUUCUUUUUCUCUAAGGUCUGCCUCCUUUUAUAGGUUAUAAAAUCACCAUCUAACGUUCGUCACUACAAAAUAAUGUAUUUAUCUGGCUCAAAAGGGAAAUCCUAAAAAGUCCUAAGUAAACAUGAUUUAUGAUAAGAGAGUACUCCUUAAAUGAUUAGGAAAAUAGGAUAAGAUGGCAUCUUUUAAAUGACUGAGCUGGGGAAAACAAGUAAAUCCAGCAAUUACAAAUAAAAACCUCCAUACUAGGUAUGACCCAAACUCCUGAGUCAUGCUGAUAUAGCACUGUAUCAUCUCUUCCUCCUUCUUGAUAGUGAAAUGUUCUCUCUGGCUCCUGAUCCCUGUUCAAUGACCUGCUGUUCAAGGAUACAGAUGAUCUGUAACUUCAGCUUCAGAUAGACAAGCUUUGUCCCAAGGUCUCAGGAAAUGGAAAUAGAAUGAUAUUGGAGGCAGUUGCCUAGAUAGCUAAGGCACCAACAAUUUUUCCUUUAAAAAUAUCAAUACUGAUGCCUAUGUUGACCAAAUUGGUCUUCUUCUUUGCUGCCUGAGAAAACAACUUGCAUAGGACAUAGUUAAGAAAAAAAGAAGAUAGUUGAAGGUGGAAUUUAAUCUUAUGGCUACAGCCAAUAUUUAUUUCCCCCAAUCUCUUUCGCAUUAUUCAUUAUAUUUUCAGGUGGUAAAAUAUUUGAGGCUCCUUGAAAAUGAGUCCCAGGAGAAUUUUUACUGUUAUCAACAUCCUGACCUGGUAAUGAGCCUCAAUAAUGAGGAAGAAUGCUUGUGCAUCUCUCAUCUUUUCUGUCUAGUUCUUGAAUGUAAUCCACAUUGCUACAUAUCUUUAUAAAGUAGCCUGAGACACAAGCCCAUUUACUAAAACUGUUGAGAUAAAUGGGAUUACUUUCCCUAAGUUUCCAUACUGGAUUUUUAAAAAUAAAACAUUGCAUUUUUUCGUCAAUAAAACUAAGCUUUGAAAAUCACUAUUCUUUUUCCUAUGACACCUAAUUUCACAUAACAGUACAUGUUGUUGAAAUUUGGUGUCUAGCUGAGUAGAAAUUGAUGUUGCCCUUAAUUUGGUUCCAUCAUUCCACCUCCAAUAAUAUUUUAUAAUAUUAUCUCUGCUCUGAGAGCACUAAGAUUUAUCAAAUCUUCUCAGAGAAGGGAUAUGUGACCUUGCUCACUGUGUCUUUCUUUGAGACUCUGUAAACAAAAUGACUUGAUGUGUGCAGUAAACAACUCCGUAAGAAUAUCAGUGUGUAAAGUUGAUUAGUUAGUAAUAAUAUUAAAAGCAUAGAAUUAUACAUUAAAAAGAUUAUGGUGGACAACUUUUGAGGUCCAAAAGAUGUAUUUUGCGUUUACUAAACUUAGUCUCAUUGAUGAGGAGUUUUAGAAUAGUAUCAUCGGGAUCCUUAAAUUCAAUAUUUGUUCAUUCGUCCACCUAUUUACUGAUUCAGAUAUUUACUGAACAUUAAUUAUAUAUCUGACAUUAUGCUCAGCCCAAUGGACACAAAGAUAAAUAGGAGACCACAACUGCCCUUAGGAGCUCACUGGGGGAAACCAAUAUGGAAUCCGAGAGCUUUAAUGAAGUCGGGCAAGUGCAACCAUAGAAAUGCAUAUGGGGGAUUAGUGGAGAAUUGAGAGGAAGCAUGAACCAACCUGGGGCUGGUCUUGGAAGUUUCCCGGAAGUGACCACAGAUAACCUGAGACUUAAAGGCUCAGUGAGAGAGAGUCAGUAGAAGGGAGAGGGAGACUUCUCAGCCGAGGAGGUCACAGAGGGGACACAACCUGGGGCUAGGGAUGAGCAGAAAGAGAAACAGUUAGGUAGUCAAGUCUCCUGGAAUAGAAGGUGGGAGACAGGGAAGAGGAUGGCAGUGAGGUCAAGAGCAGCGCGAGGUCCUGAGCGUUAAGUUAUAGUUUCAGUGUGUUCCCAGCGUGUGUAAAAAUGAACUUCGUCUUAAUAGAAUGCAUUACUUCUGAGAAGUCCCCUUCGCUAAGAAAAGACAGUGUUUUUGACACCAAUAUUCUAGUUACUUUCUUUUGAAAACAUAUCUUUUUCUGGAGAAUAUUCAACCUAUUCAAGAUAUAAGCUCCAUUGAUCCAAACUUCAAAUUCUCUGCCAGUGCUGGUCCACUACACUCUCUCUGGGUUACUUGGUACCAGAACAGGACUAACAAGUGGCUUCAGCAAGCUACGAAGAAUUGUAAAGAAUUCUCUGUGUGAGUAAGGGCAGUUGCAAUAAGGGAGAUGGGGCGAGAGAGGGUUAGGAAGACUGGAAGCGGGGGAGGCCCCAGAGUGAAGCAGUGCUCUGCAAUGAAUGUUUUCCUGCUGAGAGGAGAAAGCGAGCAACAAAGGAGGGAGAAAAGGAGAAAGAACUUGAUUAGGGGGAGGGGGUUUUUUUCCCUGAAGGAAGUUAUGAUAGAAUAAUGAGAAUAAUACACAGCCAGGGAAAAACUCAGUUUGCAGUAACAUAGAAGAAUGAAUGGUGGUAUGUAGUUAAAGACAGCACAUAAUGUUAAGUAUUAGAUGGUGAAGUGAAACACCGCGAUGGCUUGAGGAAGGGUGGUGUGUGCAUAUAUAUAUAUUUUUUCAUAGGUCAGCAUGUAUGAUUCCCAUUUUAGUUUAAAGGAGUUUUUUUCGAUUUCAUUUUGGUUUUUUUUAGGAUCAGAGAUGAAUUCAAGCUUCUAAAAUAUUGCCACUACUUUGUACCUAUCUCACAUAUUUGUCUUCAGUGUUCCUCAGAUAUUUAAAGUCCUCCACAUACCUUUGGUAAAGUUGUUCCGAGUUUUAAAGAGGAGCUAUUUCAUGUCUGCCGAGUGCUGGGCGAGGCCGCUUCCCAGAGGCAAAGCGUCUCCCUCUCACAGACAUUACAGAUUCAGUUAAAAAUAAACCUUAGGAAAAUGUUCAUAGGGAGAUGUUUAUAAAAGAAGCCUGAAAAUGUUCUGCUGAAGAUGUAUUUGGGUAAGAAGAUGGCAAACUCUCUGAUAUUCAGUGUAAAUAUCCAUUUUUCUCCUCUCUUAUAUGAGGGAUAAAAAAGGAUGAAAUGGAAGUGAAACAUCUCAUUCUGCUUCAUUAUUUUCUCUUACUAUAUUAAGUUUAAUUCCCAGUUUUUUCCUGGUAAAAUCAUGAAUUUUUAUUACCUUUCUAAUACAAAAUCACUUUGUAAAUAAGAUCUGACCUUCAAGGCAUAGAGGAAAGCCAAGAAAAAUAAAACAAUUAUAUCUUCUUAUUCUCUGUGGCCUUGAAGAUCCCAUUGCUUUAAGACCCUCAAAGUACAUUUCGUAUUUUUUAACGAUACCAAAAUUCCACUGGGUAAACUUUAAAGGUCUUAUUGACUUUAUUCAGUGAUUCAUGAAUCGGGCAGCAUCCCGUCUAGCAGAGAGAGACGAGCUUGAAGAGCUGUGCAAAAUGGAAAAUUUGAAAGGCGAAAAUGAGGUGGACCGAGAAAAUUAUUAGCAAAAGAGAGAAUCGUUUCAGACAAGGUCACCUUCCUUUGGGGGACGGCAGGGGUCUCGCAGGCAGACUCCCUCACCAGUGCUGACCAGUGCUGAAGUGUGGGCCGUCUCAUUUAAGGAAACCUCCCGAUUCUUUAGUGCUAUGUGAAUAUAUAAACCAACAUUCAGAUAAAAAUUGAAGAGGAGUUUCAGCAUCCUUUCCUUAUCCUAAUUCAAGUCAUCAAUAAAAGUGCUGAACAGAUCAGCGCUGGACGGAGUCCCCUAUCAGAAAAUGUAGAUAUCACUCACGGUGGAAAUCGACCCAGCAGCUUUGGAAAAUGGCAGAUAAAUUAAAAUGCAAAGUCAUUAAAGAGUAUUGAGUCCACAUUUCAUCGUUUUGCCGGUUCAAAUGGAAAGUUUUGUCCAAUGUCUUGGUAAAACUCAAGUAGCCACAUGUGUCAGGAGUGAACUUUCAAAAGGGCCAAGGCAGCCUCCUAUCAGGCUAGUAAAAUCUCUCCUAUCCCACUUCUUUUUUUUUUUUUUGAGGAAGAUUAGCCCUGAGCUAACAUCUGUCACCAAUCCUCCUCUUUUUGCUGAGGAAGACUGGCCCUGAGCUAAC